CCUACUUGGAUAACUGUGGUAAUUCUAGAGCUAAUACACGCAGCAAAGCUCGAACUUAACGGAACGAGCGCAUUUAUUAGGCUAAAACCAAUCGGUCUUCGGACUGUCUUUUGGUGAAUCUGAAUAACUUUGCCGAUCGCAUGGUCUCGUACCGGCGACSUAUCUUUCAAAUGUCUGCCUUAUCAACUUUCGAUGGUAGUUUAUACGCCUACCAUGGUAGUAACGGGUAACGGAGAAUCAGGGUUCGACUCCGGAGAAGUAGCCUGAGAAACGGCUAUUACAUCCAAGGAAGGCAGCAGGCACGCAAAUUACCCACUCCCGGCACGGGGAGGUAGUGACGAAAAAUAACAAGGCGGUUCUCUACGAGGCCCGCCAUUGGAAUGGGUACAAUUUAAAUCCUUUAACGAGGAUCUAUUGGAGGGCAAGUCUGGUGCCAGCAGCCGCGGUAAUUCCAGCUCCAAUAGCGUAUAUUAAAGUUGUUGCGGUUAAAAAGCUCGUAGUUGGAUCUGCGGUCGAGGAGAGCGGUCCACCGAUGGUUGGUUACUGCUUUUCCUGACCUAAUCCUUCGGUUUUCCCUUGAUUCUCUUCACUGAGUGUCUUGGGUGGCCGGAACGUUUACUUUGAAAAAAUUAGAGUGCUCAAAGCAGGCGAAUCAGCCUGAAUAGUGGUGCAUGGAAUAAUGAAAGAGGAUCUCGGUUCUAUUUUGUUGGUAUUGGAUUGAGAUAAUGAUUGACGGGGACCGACGGGGGCAUUCGUA
rnacentral:rRNA from 1 species